rnacentral:lncRNA from 1 species
UUAUAAACAGAAUUACAAAAACAAUGAAUGUGAGGAUAUAAAAUUACAGGGGGUUAUAUGCAAUAAAAACUUGAUAAUCAAAUAAUAAAAAAUAAAUCAUGAAAUAAGACAAAAGUAUAGGUUUAGAGAAAACCAGGGUGCAUGCAACCCGAAGCCCUUUUCUUUCUGUUCCCUUACGUUCUCUUCUUGAAAUUGAAUUUUCUCUUUCUUUCUUUUUUU